GACAGGGGGCAGCCAAGAAAAAAAAGGAAUCUAACAAAACAAAUCAGCUCCGAUAAGUAAUAGAACAACUUCUUUAUUUCCUCCAACAAUCCCAAGUCACUUCACCGUCUCCAACGAUUCGUCGUAAAUCUUUUUGAUUUGUCUUUCUAGUUUAGUGUUCCCAACAUGCAGAACCUCUCCAAUGGGUUUCUGGAUUCUCCAUCAGCCUUUACCAGUCAAAGGUCAUCUGGGUUCUAGAAAUAUCAUCCUCAAAGUACUUUAGAGUGCAAUGUAAAGAAUUGGAUCGUGAUCCUGAAAAGGCUAUGUAGCAGCAGACACAUCACAAAAACUGGAGGUUUUUCCCAAAGUAAUGAGAAGAUAAGACAGAAACUGUUCAGGGACAAGCGAUUAUUUUUACGGCGUUCCGGUUAGGCAAUUAAAAUCUGCUGCAUUCUUCUCGUGUCUGGACUAAAAAAUGGGGCUAAACCACAGACGUGUCUCUAAAAGCAUUAACCUUUGUCCACAAUUCCAAGAGUUAACUUUGAUACAACAACAUUAUCAUCUGUUAUGAAAAGAACCCCAUGGAACACGGUGGAAGUAGAAUCAUGACCUUGGAUCUUUUUUUUGGAUGGAACAGGGUUUUUGUUAAAGGGGCAGCAUUAUGUAUUUUCUAGGCACAUAGUACCAUAUUAAAGCACAAUCAAGAACUAUGUAACCUUCAGUUCUAAAAAUACCAUAUAUAUUAAACAUGACAG